rnacentral:lncRNA from 1 species
AACGCGCGAGAAAGGGGAUUCGGACGGCUGGCGCACGAAGCUCUCGCUCCGCACGUAUGAAGUCGUUCGAAGACCAGGCCGAGCUCGAGACGAGUUCAGAUGCCGUUUGCCGAAGCACGCUCCUCCACCCAUACGGACGGCGAACGGAGCACCCAGCGUUCGACACGCAGCUCGCAAUCAGCUUCAGUGCGUUCCCGUCUCGCUUCGUAGAAGCCGAUUUCCCAGCCUGACCACAAUAGACUCUUCGAUUAGAGAGCUCGUCCAGGCGCCGCUUCUGUGGACCACACUCGCCGAUCUCCAACGCGAGGAGCCGCUUCCACGGACUGGCUUCCUUCAACAGGUGAACGCAGGUCCCGAAGGCCUGAACGACAGCGCCGAGAGGCAUCGGAGAUGAGCUUACCUUGAUUAAUCUCAAGAGUGUGGAGUGGCGGAGUGGCUACUGUUAACCAACGUUCAAACAGAAGUUGUUGAGGAUUAAAGUCACGAGCAGACCUGCCUCACUCGAGUAGCAGGUAGAUGAUAAGAAAUGACAUGCAUGUCUAAAGCCAAUAAACCGAUUUCAUUAAUA